GGGAAGGAUUCUUCUUCAAGAAUAGCCCCUUUGGGGACUCCAGGCAGCCAGAGAGUCACCCCUGCAGACUGAUAAGAGGUCCCAGAUCUGCAGCCACGCCCAGCCUCAGGGGCUGUCCUGUGCCAUGGAGGAUGUUUAGCACCAUCCCUGGUUGCUACCCACUAGAUGCCAGUAGCACUUCUCCCCAGUUCUAACAACCAAAAGUGUCUGCAGACACUGGCAAAUGUCCAUCUAGUUGAGAACCACUGUUUUAAGCAGGGGGCGCCUGUCUGCUGCCUCCAAAGGGCCAGCACAGAGCAGCCAAUGCCUGGCUCCACCAAGAUGAACUCUUCUUACGAUUCUACCUAGACACUCAAAGAUUCAAAUGUCUUUGGUGUAGGAUUGGGCUUGAGUGGCCAAGAGCUUCGAUGAGAAUGGAAACAAGCGUAUGGAAGUCUGAAGCCUGCAAAGCAGAUCGAGUUUCAAUCCUGGGUGGAGAGUCUUCAAAGGGAAAGAACUGCCUGUUGCCUAAAAGUGGCCUCGCCAAUGUCCACGUUCUAACUUCUGGAACCUGUGCAUGUAACCUUAUUUGGAGAGAGGAUCUGUGCAGAUGUAAUUAAGGCUCUUGAGAUGUGAUUGCCCUAGAUCAUCUGGAUGGACCCUAAAUUCAAAGACAAGUGUCUUCAGAAGACACAGAAGAGAAGACACAGAGAAGAGAUGGCCAUGUAAAGUUGGAAGCAGAGACCGAAGUGAUGCAGACAAUCAAGGAACACUGGGGGCUCCCAGAAGCUGGAAGAGGCCAGGAAGGAUUCUCCUGUGGGGUCUUCGGAGGCACUGUGGCCUUGAUGUUGCCUUGAUUUCAGACUUUUGACCUUGAGAAUGGGCCUCAGUUUCUUCAUUUGUCAGAUGGUUUUGGAAGCUCAUCCCUCAUAGCUGAACGAUAGCCAGAUGUAAGAGGAGAAGUAGAGUGCUGGUUGGAAGAAAUCCUGGAGAGAGCUGCUCCCAUCUCCUAUCUGACUUUGCCCAACAGAUCUCCAGACUCCACUUUCCACCUUCUGCAGCCAGGAAAGCCCAGCAGAUUCUCCUGGUCAUUGAGGAGGCCUUCUCUGUGAAGUUCAAGUUUCAGUGGUAUGUCUGCACAUUGGUAUUGUUGGGGAAGAGGGGUUUUGGGGAAUGAAUAAAGUUUUGGAAGCCAGAUGCUAGAAUCUACCAGAGAACUCUCACAAUGGCCAUGAAGACCUACCGAGGCCUCAGAGAUCCAGGCAUUAAUCCAAGGAGAUGCUGGAGUUGUGGCUGAGGAACUGGGGCUGGUGUGUGGGGAGCCAAUGCUCGCUCCAAUGGACAUCUACUGUUUGGUCUUCCCAAAACCUCUCUUUCAGGAAUCAACUCUCCCAUACCCAAACUACAAGGUUGCAGUGGGAAAUGCCAUGUUUCUACAAUAUGACCCUAGUCCCUGGUCACUUGAUUGGUCCAGGGUCAGGCACUUAACCCAUACCAGAACAAUAAUAUUUCUGGUUUUUCCAACCAGGGAUAGAGAUGAGAGAAGAAGAGCUAUGUUAACUUCUCUCUAGCUGAUGGGUCCAAUAACAUGUAAGUCUUAAGUUCUUUUGACAGCCAUAUUUUCUCCCCUGUGUGAAAGUAACAAGCAGGAGAAACUGAUCUAAUGAGAGAAUGAAAGAUGAGGAGAUUCCCAGUGGCAUCUGAGUUUCUGAUUCUGCUCCAUGGCAUAUAGUAUUUCAUUCCUGGGGUCAGUCCUUUGUCUCUGUGGCAUGCCCCUGUAUCGUUAUAAUUAAGUUUCCCCUUCUUGAUAAUGCAAAUUUUUGUUAUUUAUAAUCCAAAAAAGCUAAGGAAUAAUGUGAACUUUCUUACCAGAUACAUUCAUUCAUUCAAGUGCAUCCUUCUUGUGCCACCUCCAUGCUUGGUUACCAUGAAGGUGCUGGAAAUCCAAUGAUCAAUAGUAUAGACAUAGUAUCUACCCUCAGGGACCUUAUACUUGGAGGUGGGAAAACAGGUUAGGGCAGGGCAGACCUGGAACACAUACUAUACAGGUAAACUCCGGGUUUCUGAGAGCAUACAACAAGAUUAUGAGAGCGUACAAGGUGAGAACUAAAGGAAUGCGCAGGAGUUGACUGGAACGAGUUAGGAAUUACGAUGUAAAGGAGGGAGAGCAUCCCGGUCUGGAAGAAGAGCAUGAAUAAUCUACCAUGAAGCCAGCAUCCUCUACAAAGAAAGCAACAUUUCAGUUAAGCGUCCUGGUUUCUCAUCUACCCCUACUUUGGGCCCUCUGCUAAUACACUGGUAAGAAAACUCUUUCCUUUUGCCCAGAAGCAACCGCCUUGUCUUUUCCAGAUUCUUCUAUUCCUUAUUGAGCGAUUACAAAGGGAGAAACACAAAAUGCCCCCUCUCAUUGAUUCCCAUUUUGGUAGAGAAAGCUAGAUUUCAUCCUAAUAGCCGCUCUCCUCACCUUCUUUACUACUAUGUUAGGGGCAGCAAAGUGGCUGGCUAAUAAAACCACAUUUCCCAACCUUACUUGUAGAGGGGGAUGGCUAAGGAGAGGUCACUGGAAGUGAUUGGAUAAGGUUUUUAGAAAGCUGUUUAAAGGGGUUAACUUAGCUAGCAAGCACCUCUUUGUCCUUUCCCCCUGUUCUUGCUUAUUUGUCCCUGGGACCAGGACUUGAUGGAUGGAGCUCCAGCAGUCAUUUUCAUCUCCGAGUUGAAGUCGUGUGCUAAGAAUGACAGAGCAGAAGGCAGAAUUCCAGUUUUUGAAACUUGUAGAGUCCCCACACCAGCCUGGCCUGCCUGGAGACAGUUUAUCAUUUGAGAAAAUAAGUGGAAGCUCAGAAAAGUUAAGGGAAAGUCACACAGCAGUACAUUAGAGCCGGGAAGCUCUGCUUCCUAGAAUUCCUUGCAACUGGCAUUCCAAAUGUGGUUUAGAAACUGCCAAUUAAAUGAACUUACAUGAGACUGGAUCCUGGAACUAAGAGGGGGAGAGGCAACAGGUCUUAAUACAGAGCCUGGCACACAAGUUGGUGAAAUAAUGCAGGAAGAAAAACCAACAUUUUCAAACACAAUAUGUCUGUCUCAAAGCUUGCCCUGUUCAAAAUUUAUCCCUCUGAAUUCUUACUGAAGAUUAUAUGAGACAUAGCCAAGAACCAUGAAAAUGCUCAUUCCUUUGACUUGUCUUUUGUACUGUUUCCUUGGGGAUUAUCACUUUUUUUUCCCAAAAGAUAGUUUACACUUUGAGAAUUAAGAUAAUUUCUUAAAAUACAUAUGACACAAAAUUUAACAUCUCAACCAUUUCCAAGUGUAUAGCUCAGUAAUGUUUAGUGUAUUCACACUGUUGUACAAUACACAAAAAGAACUUUUUCAUCUUGCAAAACUGAAACUUCAUACCCAUUAAAAAUCUUCCCAUUCCCCACUCCUCCUGUUUCCCCUGGAAACAACAAUUCCACUUUCUGUCUCUAUUUGACUAUUCUAGAUACCUCAUACAAGCAAAUCAUACAGUGUUUAUAUUUUUGUGACUGGCUUAUGUCAGUGCUU